GUUUUCUGCCGAGUCGAGCCGGGGUCGCCUUCCUCGAACUCUGGGUUAUCCAUCAGGCGGAGCUAGCCUGAAAGCUAGGUGCAUUUCUCUGGGGACACAGGGAACAGAGAGAAGAGGGGCGAGAGGGAUCAAUAGAUGGGAGAUAAUAAAGUUUAUGAGAGGUAUGGGGCGGUCUUCUGUACGACGGGGCCGUCC
rfam:Rattus norvegicus strain BN; Sprague-Dawley chromosome 4 CRA_213000034364637, whole genome shotgun sequence.